rnacentral:rRNA from 1 species
UACGGGGGGGGCAAGCGUUGUUCGGAAUUACUGGGCGUAAAGGGCUCGUAGGUGGCCAACUAAGUCAGACGUGAAAUCCCCAGGCUUAACCUGGGAACUGCGUGUGAUACUGGAUGGCUUGAAUUCGGGAGAGGGAUGCAGAAUUCCAGGUGUAGCGGUGAAAUGCGUAGAUAUCUGGAGGAAUACCGGUGGCGAAGGCGGCAUCCUGGACCGACAUUGACGCUGAGGAGCGAAAGCUAGGGGAGCAAACGGG